rnacentral:rRNA from 1 species
UACGUAGGGGGCAAGCGUUGUCCGGAUUCAUUGGGCGUAAAGAGCUCGUAGGCGGCUUGGCAAGUCGGGUGUGAAACCUCCAGCUCAACCUGGAGACGCCACCCGAUACUGCCAUGGCUAGAGUCCGGUAGGGGACCACGGAAUUCCUGGUGUAGCGGUGAAAUGCGCAAGAUAUCAGGAGGAACACCGGUGGCGAAGGCGGUGGUCUGGGCCGGAACUGACGCUGAGAUGCGAAAGUGUGGGGAGCAAACGGG